AAGUCAUAACAAGGUUUCCGUAGGUGAACCUGCGGAAGGAUCAUUAAUAGUGCCCUCUGAUGCAAAUCAUUGGGUUAGAUCUGCUCUCUUCGCAAAGAAGAGGGUUUCCAUACACAACCGUGAACUGUCGGCUUCGGCCAUCACAAACUGUUAGUAAUGAAUGUAAUAUCAUAACAAAAACAAAA
rnacentral:misc_RNA from 1 species